rnacentral:rRNA from 1 species
GACGAACGCUGGCGGCGUGCUUAACACAUGCAAGCCGAACGAUGAAGCUGGAGCUUGCUCCGGUGGAUUAGUGGCGAACGGGUGAGUAACACGUGAGCAAUCUGCCCUUGACUCUGGGAUAACUGCGGGAAACUGUAGAUAAUACCGGAUACUUUCACUGGAAGGCAUCUUCUGGUGAAGAAAGAAUUUCGGUCAAGGAUGAGCUCGCGGCCUACCAGCGUGUUGGGGAGGUAACGGCUCACCAAGGCGACGACGGGUAGCCGGCCUGAGAGGGUGACCGGCCACACUGGGACUGAGACACGGCCCAGACUCCUACGGGAGGCAGCAGUGGGGAAUAUUGCACAAUGGGCGCAAGCCUGAUGCAGCAACGCCGCGUGAGGGAUGAAGGCCUUCGGGUUGUAAACCUCUUUUAGCAGGGAAGAAGCGAAAGUGACGGUACCUGCAGAAGAAGCACCGGCUAACUACGUGCCAGCCGCCGCGGUAA